AAAUUGAAGAGUUUGAUCAUGGCUCAGAUUGAACGCUGGCGGCAGGCCUAACACAUGCAAGUCGAACGGUAACAGGAAGAAGCUUGCUUCUUUGCUGACGAGUGGCGGACGGGUGAGUAAUGUCUGGGAAACUGCCUGAUGGAGGGGGAUAACUACUGGAAACGGUAGCUAAUACCGCAUAACGUCGCAAGACCAAAGAGGGGGACCUUCGGGCCUCUUGCCAUCGGAUGUGCCCAGAUGGGAUUAGCUUGUUGGUGGGGUAACGGCUCACCAAGGCGACGAUCCCUAGCUGGUCUGAGAGGAUGACCAGCCACACUGGAACUGAGACACGGUCCAGACUCCUACGGGAGGCAGCAGUGGGGAAUAUUGCACAAUGGGCGCAAGCCUGAUGCAGCCAUGCCGCGUGUAUGAAGAAGGCCUUCGGGUUGUAAAGUACUUUCAGCGGGGAGGAAGGGAGUAAAGUUAAUACCUUUACUCAUUGACGUUACCCGCAGAAGAAGCACCGGCUAACUCCGUGCCAGCAGCCGCGGUAAUACGGAGGGUGCAAGCGUUAAUCGGAAUUACUGGGCGUAAAGCGCACGCAGGCGGUUUGUUAAGUCAGAUGUGAAAUCCCCGGGCUCAACCUGGGAACUGCAUCUGAUACUGGCAAGCUUGAGUCUCGUAGAGGGGGGUAGAAUUCCAGGUGUAGCGGUGAAAUGCGUAGAGAUCUGGAGGAAUACCGGUGGCGAAGGCGGCCCCCUGGACGAAGACUGACGCUCAGGUGCGAAAGCGUGGGGAGCAAACAGGAUUAGAUACCCUGGUAGUCCACGCCGUAAACGAUGUCGACUUGGAGGUUGUGCCCUUGAGGCGUGGCUUCCGGAGCUAACGCGUUAAGUCGACCGCCUGGGGAGUACGGCCGCAAGGUUAAAACUCAAAUGAAUUGACGGGGGCCCGCACAAGCGGUGGAGCAUGUGGUUUAAUUCGAUGCAACGCGAAGAACCUUACCUGGUCUUGACAUCCACAGAACUUUCCAGAGAUGGAUUGGUGCCUUCGGGAACUGUGAGACAGGUGCUGCAUGGCUGUCGUCAGCUCGUGUUGUGAAAUGUUGGGUUAAGUCCCGCAACGAGCGCAACCCUUAUCCUUUGUUGCCAGCGGUCCGGCCGGGAACUCAAAGGAGACUGCCAGUGAUAAACUGGAGGAAGGUGGGGAUGACGUCAAGUCAUCAUGGCCCUUACGACCAGGGCUACACACGUGCUACAAUGGCGCAUACAAAGAGAAGCGACCUCGCGAGAGCAAGCGGACCUCAUAAAGUGCGUCGUAGUCCGGAUUGGAGUCUGCAACUCGACUCCAUGAAGUCGGAAUCGCUAGUAAUCGUGGAUCAGAAUGCCACGGUGAAUACGUUCCCGGGCCUUGUACACACCGCCCGUCACACCAUGGGAGUGGGUUGCAAAAGAAGUAGGUAGCUUAACCUUCGGGAGGGCGCUUACCACUUUGUGAUUCAUGACUGGGGUGAAGUCGUAACAAGGUAACCGUAGGGGAACCUGCGGUUGGAUCACCUCCUUACCUUAAAGAA
rnacentral:rRNA from 1 species